GACGAACGCUGGCGGCGUGCCUAAUACAUGCAAGUAGAACGCUGAAGGAGGAGCUUGCUUCUCUGGAUGAGUUGCGAACGGGUGAGUAACGCGUAGGUAACCUGCCUGGUAGCGGGGGAUAACUAUUGGAAACGAUAGCUAAUACCGCAUAAUAGCAGUUGUUGCAUGACAACUGUUUGAAAGGUGCAAUUGCACCACUACCAGAUGGACCUGCGUUGUAUUAGCUAGUUGGUGGGGUAACGGCUCACCAAGGCGACGAUACAUAGCCGACCUGAGAGGGUGAUCGGCCACACUGGGACUGAGACACGGCCCAGACUCCUACGGGAGGCAGCAGUAGGGAAUCUUCGGCAAUGGACGGAAGUCUGACCGAGCAACGCCGCGUGAGUGAAGAAGGUUUUCGGAUCGUAAAGCCCUGAUGUAAGAGAAGAACGAGUGUGAGAGUGGAAAGUUCACACUGUGACGGUAUCUUACCAGAAAGGGACGGCUAACUACGUG
rnacentral:rRNA from 1 species